AUCGAUUCAUCGCACAAUUUACCAACCAGCGAUACCAUCUGUGGUUUUGCCACCCUGGUUUUUGGUCUGAUUCACGGUUUUCCUUACAAUUAAGAGGCCGGUUUUUUUCUUCGCGCCCGACGAAUCGGACCCGGGCGCCGACAAUUUAGAAGAAAUGAUCAUUCUAUGGGAUUGGCCCCAAGGGAUCGACCAAACGUCGCAUCGAGGAAGAAACACAAUCAAAAAUUUACUUUUCACGUCAGCACGAGGAGUCUUCAAAUGUGACCUAGGCCAAGGUGCGCAAUCAGGUGUGUGCUGCGUUGCGCCAGAUACGCUCCCUUGUUGGCACCAUUCGCAGGAAUAUCCCAACACAUUUGCUGGUUGUUCCAUUGAACUUUGGCGAAGUUCAGAAUCGCGUUUUGGGAACUUAAGAAAAGCAUUUUGGAGGCUCAGCUUCAGGGCAUCGAUGAUGACCUCUUCAUAUAUAACCAAAUAACAUUGGGUUCCUAUGUGCUGCUGCGAAUCCUGUCGCUCCAAGCUCCGCCCGUGUUGGGUACGGCUGCAUUGAGGCUCCUGAGUUGCAGAGGUUCGUUGACCGAUGCCUGUCACAUUUCCAAGCAACUCCAAGCAACAGUCGGGCUGACACUUUCUACGCGAUCAGCGGAAGUCUGAAAUUCUAGCAAGCUUCCCCCUGUAAUGUGUAUUCUUUGAUAUCUAAUGAUAUUCUUUGUCGAUAACACCAA
rnacentral:sRNA from 1 species